GAUGAACGCUGGCGGCGUGCCUAAUACAUGCCAGUCGAGCGAACAGACGAGGAGCUUGCUCCUCUGACUUUAGCGUCGGACAGGUGAGUAACACGUGUAUAACCUACCUAUAAGACUGGGAUAACUUCGGGAAACCGGAGCUAAUACCGGAUAAUAUAUUGAACCGCAUGGUUCAAUAGUGAAAGACGGUUUUGCUGUCACUUAUAGAUGGAUCCGCGCCGCAUUAGCUAGUUGGUAAGGUAACGGCUUACCAAGGCGACGAUGCGUAGCCGACCUGAGAGGGUGACCGGCCACACUGGAACUGAGACACGGUCCAGACUCCUACGGGAGGCAGCAGUAGGGAAUAUUCCGCAAUGGGCGAAAGCCUGACGGAGCAACGCCGCGUGAGUGAUGAAGGUCUUCGGAUCGUAAAACUCUGUUAUUAGGGAAGAACAAAUGUGUAAGUAACUAUGCACGUAUUGACGGUACCUAAUCAGAAAGCCACGGCUAACUACGUG
rnacentral:rRNA from 1 species